rnacentral:rRNA from 1 species
GACAGAGGCCACGAACGUUGUUCGGAAUCACUGGGCAUAAAGCGCACGUAGGCGGCUGGGUCCGUCCGAUGUGAAAGCCCCCGGCUCAACCGGGGAAUUGCAUCGGAUACAGCCCGGCUUGAGGACGGUUGGGGUGAGUGGAACUCCUGGUGGAGCGGUGAAAUGCGUAGAUAUCAGGAGGAACACCGGUGGCGAAAGCGGCUCACUGGACCGUAACUGACGCUGAGGUGCGAAAGCUAGGGGAGCAAACGGG